rnacentral:rRNA from 1 species
AGAUUGAACGCUAGCGGGAUGCUUUACACAUGCAAGUCGAACGGCAGCGCGGACUUCGGUCUGGCGGCGAGUGGCGAACGGGUGAGUAAUAUAUCGGAACGUGCCCAGUAGCGGGGGAUAACUACGCGAAAGCGUGGCUAAUACCGCAUACGCCCUACGGGGGAAAGGGGGGGAUCGGACAACGACCUCACACUAGUGGACGCCGGACGAUAUACGAGUA